rnacentral:rRNA from 1 species
UUUGUAUAAUGGGUCAGCGACUUAUAUUCAGUGGCAAGGUUAACCAUCUAGGGGAGCCGUAGGGAAACCGAGUCUUAACUGGGCGUUCAGUCUCUGGAUAUAGACCCGAAACCAGGUGAUCUAGCCAUGGGCAGGUUGAAGGUUGAGUAACAUCAACUGGAGGACCGAACCGACUAAUGUUGAAAAAUUAGCGGAUGACUUGUGGCUAGGGGUGAAAGGCCAAUCAAACCUGGAGAUAGCUGGUUCUCCCCGAAAGCUAUUUAGGUAGCGCCUCGGACGAAUACUACUGGGGGUAGAGCACUGUUAAGGCUAGGGGGUCAUCCCGACUUACCAACCCUUUGCAAACUCCGAAUACCAGUAAGUACUAUCCGGGAGACACACGGCGGGUGCUAACGUCCGUCGUGGAGAGGGAAACAACCCAGACCGCCAGCUAAGGUCCCAAAUUACUACUAAGUGGGAAACGAUGUGGGAAGGCUCAGACAGCCAGGAUGUUGGCUUAGAAGCAGCCAUCAUUUAAAGAAAGCGUAAUAGCUCACUGGUCGAGUCGGCCUGCGCGGAAGAUGUAACGGGGCUAAGUAGUAAACCGAAGCUGCGGCAAUAUACUUUUGUAUAUUGGGUAGGGGAGCGUUCUGUAAGCGGUUGAAGGUGUGUGGUAACGCAUGCUGGACGUAUCAGAAGUGCGAAUGCUGACAUGAGUAACGAUAAAGGGGGUGAAAAACCUCCUCGCCGGAAGACCAAGGGUUCCUGUCCAACGUUAAUCGGGGCAGGGUAAGUCGACCCCUAAGGCGAGGCCGAAAGGCGUAGUCGAUGGGAAACGGGUUAAUAUUCCCGUACUUCUUACAAUUGCGAUGGGGGGACGGAGAAGGCUAGGUGGGCCUGGCGACGGUUGUCCAGGUUCAAGUGCGUAGGCUUAAGAGUUAGGUAAAUCCGGCUCUUUUUAAGGCUGAGACACGACGUCGAGCACCUACGGGUGUGAAGUCAUUGAUGCCAUGCUUCCAGGAAAAGCCUCUAAGCUUCAGAUUGUAAGGAAUCGUACCCCAAACCGACACAGGUGGUCGGGUAGAGAAUACCAAGGCGCUUGAGAGAACUCGGGUGAAGGAACUAGGCAAAAUGGUACCGUAACUUCGGGAGAAGGUACGCUCUCGACGGUGAAGUCCCUCGCGGAUGGAGCUAUUGAGAGUCGCAGAUACCAGGUGGCUGCAACUGUUUAUUAAAAACACAGCACUGUGCAAAAUCGUAAGAUGACGUAUACGGUGUGACGCCUGCCCGGUGCCGGAAGGUUAAUUGAUGGGGUUAGACUUCGGUCGAAGCUCUUGAUCGAAGCCCCGGUAAACGGCGGCCGUAACUAUAACGGUCCUAAGGUAGCGAAAUUCCUUGUCGGGUAAGUUCCGACCUGCACGAAUGGCGUAAUGAUGGCCACGCUGUCUCCACCCGAGACUCAGUGAAAUUGAAAUCGCUGUGAAGAUGCAGUGUACCCGCGGCUAGACGGAAAGACCCCGUGAACCUUUACUACAGCUUGGCACUGAACAUUGACCCUACAUGUGUAGGAUAGGUGGGAGGCUUUGAAGCACGUACGCCAGUAUGUGUGGAGCCGUCCUUGAAAUACCACCCUUGUAGUGUUGAUGUUCUAACGUCGACCCCUUAUCGGGGUUGCGGACAGUGCCUGGUGGGUAGUUUGACUGGGGCGGUCUCCUCCCAAAGAGUAACGGAGGAGCACGAAGGUGGGCUAAUCACGGUUGGACAUCGUGAGGUUAGUGCAAUGGCAUAAGCCCGCUUGACUGCGAGAAUGACAAUUCGAGCAGGUGCGAAAGCAGGUCAUAGUGAUCCGGUGGUUCUGAAUGGAAGGGCCAUCGCUCAACGGAUAAAAGGUACUCCGGGGAUAACAGGCUGAUACCGCCCAAGAGUUCAUAUCGACGGCGGUGUUUGGCACCUCGAUGUCGGCUCAUCACAUCCUGGGGCUGAAGUCGGUCCCAAGGGUAUGGCUGUUCGCCAUUUAAAGUGGUACGCGAGCUGGGUUUAGAACGUCGUGAGACAGUUCGGUCCCUAUCUGCCGUGGGCGUUGGAAGAUUGAAGGGGGCUGCUCCUAGUACGAGAGGACCGGAGUGGACGAACCUCUGGUGUUCGGGUUGUGUCGCCAGACGCAUUGCCCGGUAGCUAAGUUCGGAAUCGAUAACCGCUGAAAGCAUCUAAGCGGGAAGCGAGCCCUGAGAUGAGUCUUCCCUGAUACUUUAAGUAUCCUAAAGGGUUGUCGGAGACUACGACGUUGAUAGGUCAGGUGUGUAAGUGCUGUGAGGCAUUGAGCUAACUGAUACUAAUUGCCCGUGAGGCUUAACCAU